rnacentral:rRNA from 1 species
AUUGAACGCUGGCGGCAGGCCUAACACAUGCAAGUCGAGCGAGCGGCGGACGGGUGAGUAAUGUCUGGGAAACUGCCUGAUGGAGGGGGAUAACUACUGGAAACGGUAGCUAAUACCGCAUACCAUCAGAUGUGCCCAGAAGGGAUUAGCUAGUAGGGGGGGUAACGGCUCACCUAGGCGACGCUCCCUAGAUGGUCUGAGAGGAUGACCAGCCACACGGGAACUGAGACACGGUCCAGCUUCCUACGGGAGGCAGCAGUGGGGAAUAUUGCGCAAUGGGCGCAAGCCUGAUGCAGCCAUGCCGCGUGUGUGAAGAAGGCCUUCGGGUUGUAAAGCACUUUCAGCGGGGAGGCGUUACCCGCAGAAGAAGCACCGGCUAACUCCGUGCCAGCAGCCGCGGUAAUAC